rnacentral:rRNA from 1 species
ACGAAGGGGGCUAGCGUUGCUCGGAAUCACUGGGCGUAAAGCGCACGUAGGCGGCUUUCUAAGUCGGUGGUGAAAUCCUGGAGCUCAACUCCAGUACUGCCUCCGAUACUGGAAGGCUUGAGUCCGGGAGAGGUGAGUGGAACUGCGAGUGUAGAGGUGAAAUUCGUAGAUAUUCGCAAGAACACCAGUGGCGAAGGCGACUCACUGGACAUGUAUUGACGCUGAGGUGCGAAAGCGUGGGGAGCAAACAGGA